rnacentral:rRNA from 2 species
UGGGGAAUAUUGCACAAUGGACGCAAGUCUGAUGCAGCAAUGCCGCGUGUGUGAAGAAGGCCUUCGGGUUGUAAAGCACUUUCAGAUGUGAGGAAAAGCAGUCUAUUAAUACUAGACUGCCGUGACGUUAACAUCAGAAGAAGGACCGGCUAACUCCGUGCCAGCAGCCGCGGUAAUACGGAGGGUCCGAGCGUUAAUCGGAAUUACUGGGCGUAAAGCGCGCGUAGGCGGAUAAUUAAGUCAGAUGUGAAAGCCCUGGGCUCAACCUAGGAACGGCAUUUGAUACUGGUUAUCUAGAGUAUGGUAGAGGUGAGUGGAAUUUCAGGUGUAGCGGUGAAAUGCGUAGAGAUCUGAAGGAACAUCAGUGGCGAAGGCGACUCACUGGGCCAUUACUGACGCUGAGGUGCGAAAGCGUGGGUAGCAAACAGG